GGGCGAUUAGCUCAGGUGGAUAGAGCACAGGUCUCCGGAACCUGGUGCGGGGGUUCGAGUCCCUCAUCGCCCG
rnacentral:tRNA from 1 species